AUUUUACUAGUAUAAUAAGUACACUUGACUUCCAAUCAAAAAGUUUGAACCUCAAGUAAAAUA
rnacentral:tRNA from 1 species